GGUUGCACCAGAAGUAGAUAGCUUAACCUUCGGGAGGGCGUUUACCACGGUGUGAUUCAUGACUGGGGUGAAGUCGUAACAAGGUAACCCUAGGGGAACCUGGGGUUGGAUCACCUCCUUA
rnacentral:rRNA from 3 species